CCUACGGGAGGCAGCAGUGGGGAAUAUUGCACAAUGGAGGAAACUCUGAUGCAGCAACGCCGCGUGGAGGAUGACGCAUUUCGGUGUGUAAACUCCUUUUAUAUAGGAAGAUGAUGACGGUACUAUAUGAAUAAGCACCGGCUAACUCCGUGCCAGCAGCCGCGGUAAU
rnacentral:rRNA from 1 species